UACGUAGGGGGCUAGCGUUGUCCGGAAUCAUUGGGCGUAAAGAGCGUGUAGGCGGCCCGGUAAGUCCGCUGUAAAAGUCAAAGGCUCAACCUUUGAAUGUCAGUGGAUACUGCCGGGCUAGAGUCCGGAAGAGGCGAGUGGAACUCCUGGUGGUAGCGGUGGAAUGCGCAGAUAUCAGGAGGAAUACCGGUGGCGAAGGCGGCAUCCUGGACCGAGAUUGACGCUGAGGAGCGAAAGCUAGGGGAGCAAACGGG
rnacentral:rRNA from 1 species